ACCAAUCAGAGAGCAGCAUUGCGGUUGCAGAAAAGUUUGCUGCAAAAAAAAAGUUUUUUGGACGGAGACGAGAUUCGGUGUGAUCGGCUUAUCUAAAGCUUAAAAUUUCACGACUUCGACCGAGAUUAAACAGACCAUACUCGGCAGAUUGUGAGAUUGUGAUCAAUCAAGACGACAAACAUGGCUCACAUUUUUGAACUGCUGUGCCUUCUUGCAACAGAGUGAGAUUCAGCAACACAUAGGAAGACCACAGCAUGGAUUAAGAGACAAGAAGAAUCCAUUUGAAUGCUACAAGGAUGAACCUUUUAGAGUGGGCUACCAACAGAGAGAAACAACACAUUGCCUGACAUGUUACAUGUUUUGACAGGACUUUGUUUUUAUGCCAUUGGUACCUUUUAGAAGAUGCAAGCAGACAAAGCAACUAUAUCAUAGUCAUCCGUGUGCAGAAUCAUCAAAGAUUUUUCUGAGGCAAUGGCAAGGAGUAACAGUUAAUGAAGUGUCCGAUGACGAGAAAUUCAAACCACCCAGCGACAAUUUGAUGAUUGCUACAGGUUUCCAAGAGUCGUAGGUGCUAUCGAUUGGGGCCAUGUCUACAUCAGGAGUCCUGAUGGGGAACAAGCCCUGUACUUAGCAGGAAAAACAGGUCUUCUGUAAAUGUAUAGGUAUCCGUUGCUCCUCUCUUUGAUGAAUUCCUGCCUGCAUUCUGUUGUCAAUAGAAAAGGACCAUGUGCUUUGGGUAUUAAGCAUUCCAUUGGAUUAUCUGUGUAUGAAAGUGGACACUUGUGAUCACAAAAUGGUAGCUUAGUUGAUAGGAUGUAUUCAUGCAUUCCGAUUUAUCAUUAGUGAUCAAAUGACCAUCUUGCUUUUAAAAACCCAAAUUCACAACAUUUUUCUUGUUUGACAAAAGGUUUGGGAUGUGAAUUCCAGGAAAUAAAUGACACACACGAUGGGCUAAUGUAUAAGCAGGGAUGUGAGAGGUAUAAGCAACAUUUUGCUCAUGCUUAACUAAGUUUGGCAUGAGAUGGUCUUGGUCAUUCUUAUGAUUCAAGUCUAUUUUUAUACCAUUUUUUUUAAACAACAAUCAAUGUUUGAAGCCUCAUGAUUUCAAUAUCAAAACCUCUUUGUUAAUUAAAUGGUCAUAUUUCUAAGCAUAUGCAGCUUCCUAAUUUAUCAAAUUUAAAUUAUAUAUCAUUUUUGCUGAAUAUCCUUUUUUUCCCACCUAUUUUCAUAGGCACUAAGAUACAUUUCUGUAGUAAGCACUAUAUAUACAUUGCAAGCUAUUAUCAUUUGUUUGAUAUUACUAUUUUAUGAUAGAAUCAUCCUUUAAUUUCUUUCAGAAAUAUAAUUGCCUAAUUACCUGUGAUAUUCAUGCUUUAGCUGUAGAGUUUAAAAUCUUGACUAAACUUUUUUUAAUCCAUUGUUUAUCUGUUUUUAUUCAGAGUUUCUGAUGCAUUGUUAAGAAAAUGUAAACAGUCUAUUCAAUCUUCGUAUCAUUAUGUAAAGAAUUUCAAUCUACUUU
rnacentral:lncRNA from 1 species